AAGAGCCUAAGUUAAAUAAACUAUUUUGCUUCAAACAAAAAAAUAACCUAGAGUUGUCUCUUA
rnacentral:tRNA from 1 species